rnacentral:rRNA from 1 species
UUUGUCCACUAAUUAUGGACCAGUAUGAAAGGCCACAUGAGAUUCUAACUGUCUCUUGUAACCAAUUUAUAAAACUGAUCUUCUAGUACAAAAGCUAGAAUACUCCUAUAAGACGAGAAGACCCUGUGAAGCUUAAAAAACCCCAUUAAACAGACUAGUGGGUAUUUUUAGUUGGGGCAACUUUGGAAAACAACUUAACUUCCAAAAAAGGGGGGGGCCCCACUAAGACCUACAAGUCAAACAAGACCCAGUAUAACUGAUAAAUGAACCAAGUUACUCCAGGGAUAACAGCGCAAUCUUCUUCAAGAGCCCAUAUCAAAAAGAAGGUUUACGACCUCGAUGUUGGAUCAGGACACCCAAAUGGCGCAGCCGCUAUUAAAGGUUCGUUUGUUCAACGAUUAACAGU